rnacentral:rRNA from 1 species
AACAAACGCUGGCGGCGUGCCUAAUACAUGCAAGUCGAACGAGAAAGUACCUUCGGGUAUGAGUACAGUGGCGCACGGGUGAGUAACGCGUAGAUAAUCUGCCCUUCAGUGGGGAAUAACUCGGGGAAACUCGGGCUAAUACCGCAUAAGACCACAGUAGCCACGGCUACAGAGGUUAAAGAUUUAUUGCUGAAGGAUGAGUCUGCGUUCGAUUAGCUUGUUGGUGGGGUAAAGGCCUACCAAGGCGACGAUCGAUAGCUGGUCUUAGAGGAUGAUCAGCCACACUGGAACUGAGACACGGUCCAG